GGAGCCGGCUCGCAGCAGGAGCUGCCCCCCUGGGGGCGCCGGGAUGACCUGGGGGGUCCCGGCGGUGGGACCCCCGGAGGUGGUGCUCAGCCGGACGGAGGCACCAAGUGUCCGACUCUCGCUGCUCCUGCUGACGCCGAGCCCAGGCUGCCCACUUCCCACUCCAUCUGCUCAUCGGCAACAGUGGCCAAGGGCCACCUCUGGAACCACCGGGAGAAGUCACUUUCCUGAGGAGGAUGUAGCAAAAACAGCGUGAGACAGCCAUUCACCGGCCAGUUCACCAAUACUUAUUUGCCUGGUGACUGGCACCAGGAAGGAGGAGUACAGGGUGAGCUCAGCCAAUGGGGAUCUGAUCUGAAAGGGCUUCAUGGACUCUGAAUGGAGGUUUGAAGGCCACGUGUAGCAGGCCGGGUCAGGGAAGAGCGUUCCCAGCACAGGGAACGGAGCGGCUGUGAGGCCCAGCACAGAAGGCGCCAGGGAGAGGGCACGAGGUGGACAGGAAUGGGCAGGGUGGCGGCAGGGUCAGCCCCGAGGGCCUCUCUGUGGAGGCAAGAGUGAGAUUUGGGGGUUUCUUGGCGAGCAGCAGGGAGCUGGCGGAGUUUCCACCUGAGCACAGGUGCGCUGCAGAGGCCUCUCGGCUGCACCUGGGAAUCCGAGGAAGACGUGUGCCCGAGCCCAGCUGGCUGUGGUCAGCCAGGCAGGAGAGGGCCGGAACGGGGGAAGUGACAGCAGACAGAGGAGGAGGAAUUCGAAGUACAUGUUGGAGGUAAAAUGCUCAGUGCCUGACUGGGUGGAGCAGGGGGUGGGACGAGACAGACACAUUAGGGAGAUUCCCGGCUCUCGGGCAGUCCUGCCGGUGGGUUAGUGGUUCUCAUUUAACUGCACUAAAAACAAAUAUUUGAGGCUCAGAGACAUGAAAUUACUUGCCCAAGAUCACACAGCACAUGAGCAGCUUGGUGGGUGGAAACUCAGGUCCUGCCUGUGCCUGAAACAUGCCAUCUCCAGAGUCCCCUCCUCCUCCCUCCGGGCAAGUUCAGAGAGGCCUGGGGACUUCAGGUUCCCGCUCAAACGAGCUGCCUGAGGGUUCCAGCCCAGACCCUGGGUCAGACAGCAGGUCAGAGAGACCUGGAGGGAGGUGCCCCGAAGGACGCUGACGCCCAGGAACAUGUGGCUGUGUGUGUGUGCUCCUGUGUCACCUGGGGCAGUGCCUUGGACCUGCAGGGACCUGGGGCCAGGGCUGGAGGUGAGUUCUGGCUCUGUGACUUCUGAACUCUGUCUCAGACCCCUCUCCUCCCUUGUGUGGUGGUGUCUCUGAGCCCUCCCUGGGCUGCCUGCGGGGUGGACACGGCUGGGUCCUGCGCAGAGGCCUGCAUGGGAUAGAGCGAUGGCCACGCCCUUGGGCCGCCUGGGUGUGAGUGGCUCGAGCCCAGUGGGUCUUCCUGCUGGAGAUUCUGAGAUGGAAACUCCCAGGUGUGGGCAAGUGCCCCAGGGCUGGCGGAGGUGGGGGCCAGCCCCUGCCCCUGCCCCUUCCCCGCCGGGCUCCUUGAACCUUGGAUGUCAGCCCUCCCCGCCCAGCAAGCUCGCCCCCUCCAGGAAGCGGCCUCUGCUCACCCAUCUGCGGGCCGCCUCCCCUCUUCCAGGCCGGGUUCCCAGCAGACCCGGGUCCCACAUGGCUGCCUUCUUGCUGAUGGAGCCUUCCGGAAUGGUCCCUCAGCCCCCAGAGAGCGAGACCGGGUGGGGCUUCCCCAGCAGCCGGGGACCUGGUGUUCCUCAGCCUCACUGUCAGCUGUUAACUCAGGAUCCAGAGGAGAUAAGGCCACCUCCCAGAGCUUGUCCGACUGGAAGGGACCGUGCAUGGGAAGUCCAAGGCAGUGUGCGUCCGCUUCCUGCUGGGGGUCGCUGGGCUGUGCCGGCUCCUGCUUGACCCCGCCCCCCCAAGGCCUCUGGCUACUUGGAGCUGGGCAGGAGGCCCGUGGCCUCAGAGGAGCUCAGGUAAGGCCUGAGAGUGAAUGUGCUCCCACUCCUGGUGUCCCCUCAGACCCUGGCCCAGGACGGAGUGGCAGGCCGGGGACCAGGCUGGGAGCAGGGAUUUGGGGGUCUGAUACACCCGACUUGAAGUCCUGCCUCGGACUUACCCCCGCUGUGAUGCUUCAAGUCACCUGCCUUGGCCUCCUUCCUUAUCUGCAAAAGAGGAUCAGUGGGCUGCCCCCCAGGGUGUGGUGACAAUCACGAAAUCCCCUGACACGGGCAUCUGAGAUGCCCACUGAAGACGACAAUAGGAGUCGCAGUUGCAAUGAGUGAUGAGCCUCAAGUUCGACUCCCCACAGCAGUGGGCCCGCUCCCUCCCAGGUAGACUUGAAUUUGGUUGGGGAUCCAGGGAGUUCCAAGGCUGACUCUGCCAGGUGAGGGCGCGACUAAGUCAAUAAGUACAUUUCAACCUUUGGUCUUAGGGAUUGGUUUAGGGUUGGGGACAUGACCCACAUGACCCAGAUCUGUCAUUCAGCAGGAAGUUCAAGAUUUUCCUGGGAAUUCUAGAGCAAAGAUGCUUCUCUAAGGAGGCCCUCUUGGUCUUGGGAUCUCCUGGCCAGAAACUUGGAACUGUAAGGAGAUCCAGUCUUAAAAAAGGCCAGUCAAGUGAGAGAGCAAGAAAUGGGCCCUUGCUAUUACUGUUAAACUGCUGGAUCAAGCCUUUCCUGAAGGACUUUUCAAUAACAUGUGCCAAUAAAUCACUUUACUGCUUAA